AUACGUAGGGGGCUAGCGUUAUCCGGAAUUACUGGGCGUAAAGGGUGCGUAGGUGGUUUCUUAAGUCAGAAGUGAAAGGCUACGGCUCAACCGUAGUAAGCUUUUGAAACUAAGAGACUUGAGUGCAGGAGAGGAGAGUAGAAUUCCUAGUGUAGCGGUGAAAUGCGUAGAUAUUAGGAGGAAUACCAGUUGGGAAGGCGGCUCUCUGGACUGUAACUGACACUGAGGCACGAAAGCGUGGGGAGCAAACAGGAUUAGAUACCCUGGUAGUCCACGCCGUAAACGAUGAGUACUAGCUGUCGGGGGUUACCCCCCUCGGUGGCGCAGCUAACGCAUUAAGUACUCCGCCUGGGAAGUACGCUCGCAAGAGUGAAACUCAAAUGAAUUGACGGGG
rnacentral:rRNA from 1 species